rnacentral:lncRNA from 1 species
CUACAUGUUGGGAUGAUAUUAUGUUGGUUUGGACUAUGAUACUUAAUUUGUGUGCAUAUUGGAUUUACUUGGCAAAAAGCAUGUUUUGAAUAAAAUGUCCUUUUAUGCAUGUUUCAAUGGUUUUUAUGCAUAGUAGCCAUACUUAGUACGUGUGUUGUACUAACCCAUAUCUUCUCCCUUUUCCCAAACAUUUAGGUUCG